rnacentral:lncRNA from 13 species
CUUCCCACCUGAAUGUGGUGGACAUCACCCCUAAUAGGCAGAGCCCAUCUCUUCCCUCUUGGAGGUUGUGGACGUCACACCUGAAGAAAGGACUCUCACGAUGGCCGUCUUCGCCACUCUGCCAGCUGACAUCCAAGCAGAGGAUGUUGCUGUGGUCAUCCCGGAUGUCACCCCACACGUCACCAAGGACGUGACACUGGAUGUUCCAUGCAGAGCUAGGAAAGGGGCAGUCCGGCGAUUAUUUUGCAGGCUUUGGAGGGCAGUGUGCUGCUGCGCCUGCCACAAGGAAUAGGAGGAACAAUGUUAAUUAUUCAUCAGACCUUCAGAAAUGGGAUUGAACCAUAGA